ACUUGUGCAAGAGCAGGUGCCUUUUGAAUGCCCAGCAUUUAUACAGGCUUUCCUACUUAUAGCCAGCAUUAACUGGAUCACCGGCAGAAGGCAUGUUACUAAAGAAAGGUGUCCGGUGAGGGACAGCCACCCGGGCCAGCAAGGCAGCAGGAAGGAGCCUCUCCGCCCGUGUGCUCGGCUUUCGUUAGGUUAAUGCCAAUUUCCUGGGCUGGAGGCCCCAUGCUCAGGAUUAUCUGGUUAUUAUUUAGGUAACUGCUUCAACAGAAUGAAAUGAGGACAUUUCAAGCCCUGUUGCUGGCUCUGCUAUUCCCUGAUACCUAUGUAGGCCACACCGGGAGCAUCCCCCGCUCCUUCUUGAAAUGCCUCUCUCCCACCAAUGACACAGGGAGGGCACAGUCCCUGCCCCGUCCCAGGGCUGGGGUACCCACUGCGGGCUUCAGCAGCAGCCAGGAUCCCGGCUGGCAGCUGGGGAAGGAGGCAGAGGUGCCGCACUCCCCACGAACGGAUGUUUUGCAACACGCAAAACCUCCUUACGUGCUUGCACAGCUCACAGCAUUUCUCCGCAACUCGGGACUUCAUCUUUUCAUACCACUCCCACCCCCAAAACCUCACGGCUCCGGGCACAAGACGGAUGCAACCGACAGCUGGAGAGAAAAAUCUGCUCUCUAGAAAUCAGCACGCGUGCUGCUUUCGCAUAAAGCUGGCUCCAGCAGUGCUGGAGUCAGUGCUCCAGUCAGCGCUCCAGUCAGCUCCUUUCCAGCAUCCCCAGCCCGGGACCAGAGCUGGGACCUGACCCCCUGCUCAGCGAUGCGGGGACCCCCCUUUUUGUUCAGCGCCUCGGCCGCCUCUGUUGAAAUCCCACCGUGGGAAGACAAAAGCUGAACGGUUCCUACGGCAAGGGGCACACGGGAAACACCGAAGAGAGCCGGCUCUCGGUUCAGCUCGCUAAAACUUCACCGUAAAAAUCCCCACGGCACGCAGCAGCCCGGCGUGCAUCGUGCCACGAAGUGUCAGAAAGAACCCGGCCCCUGUGGCAAGCCAACCCGGGCGCAAAAAGAACCGAAAGCCGCUUGUUACCGCCGGCAGAAAAUCCCUUUGGAGCCUCGACCGGCUCUCGCAGGGGGACGGCCGACUCCUUCACGGAGAGCAGCGGUUGUAAAAUCGCUAGAAACUGACUUGUUAAUUCAUCGUCAGUGAAUUUAUGGCCCCUCGGAUGCCCAAGAGCCCUGGAAAGUGAAGCUCUGUGCUAGGCAAGGCACAACCAUUUUGUAACAGCGCUGCAAAAUGCCCUAAAGGAAUGUACUCAGCUCGGGGACUUCGUAGCAUCCCGCUCCAGCCCUAGUGAGGUUUCCCUAACAGUUAUUUCAUGAGGGGAUCAAGCACGGAGGCUCACAGACCCCUGCCAGGGUGCAGAAGGGGGAAUUCAGCUGGAGCACAUUUAGGAGUCAACUAAAUUGCACAGACACCGCAACCAUCACACGCAAACCCCGGCAGCAUUGGUGGUGGCUUCCCCUAUGGACUCACCUCCCCUCUCCAAUUCUGUAUCCACCAGAGGACAUGGGAGGUGGGAAACCUCUGGGCACCUGAAACACAGGGGCUAAAGCUGAAGGUAGAAGUAUGUGGUGCUUUGCAGCUACUGCACAAGGACUGUCUAAAGUGUCUAACCUUAGUCUUCACAUCUGAUGCUCUCUGAAAAGCACUGGAGCCCAAGAGUUCUCCGUCUCUCUCUGAGAUCUUGUUUGCUCCCAAAUGCCUAGAAAUAAACAUUUCUGGUAAGGAGAAGAGAAACCCCACUGCCAGAAUAUGGGUGGGCUGCUUCUCCCACCCAGGUCCAGCACCCUCUCCAAAUUGCUGCCUUGGGAACAGCAGACAGCAACAAAUUCCAACAGCAAAAGCUGACAGCGCUGCAAAGCUGAUGGGACUGAUGGGAUCCCGUCGGGAACCGUCUGUGCCCACAGACACCGAAAUCACCAUCUGGUACUUUCGCAUGGGCCACCUGGGGAACCCCCUCAGCCAGGAGGGCUGCAGCGCUGGAUUGCAGUGCCGCCAAGAUGCCGGGGAGCGGGCAGGGACAGCCCCGAACCCAGCCGAGACCUCGAGGCACAGUUAUAACACACAGAGCCAUGCGAUCAGCUGAGACAUCCUUGAUUUGUGGCUGACUCUCUUCCCCACAAGAUUUUAUCCCAUGCCCUGCUGCUUGUAAGCCAAGAGAAUUAUGUUCUUCAUUAAUUUAAAGUCUGAGCCCUCUAGGUUUAAAAAGAGUCUUGUAGAAAUACCAAGUAUUUGCCGAUCCCUUUAUUCCUCAUUGUGAUAAUAAAUCUUGUUCCUUUUCCAUCAGAGAACAAAUAAACAGGGGAAAGUCUCCUGAGAGCCGAAGACUUACUAGGGUCUUAAAAGCAAAUAAUUUUCUUCACAAGGUAAGAGAAAUAUCACCAGCUUCUUCACAGUGUAAAUAACCCCAGGUGAUAGAGCCAGAAGCGAUGCUCCGGGGAGCAGCGUGCCUUGAGUGUUUCAGCCGCUUCCCCUCGGGCGCUGUGGUCCCAUUACAUUUUCAUAUCACGGCUACCUUCUUGGUGGGGAGGGACUCUGGGUUGGAGACAUUUGCACCAUAUUUAUUUGUUCCUAGUGAGCAAAAGCCUGCUGGUUACAGACUCUUUUAACUCCUCAGUGUAGUUAUCACCUAAAUACAUGUCCCCCAAGCUCCAAGGCUGUCGGGUAGGAAGGAGGAUGGUGUCAGCCCCAUCCUGGAUCAGUACCCUGGUGAUGGGGAGGUUGGCCCCAGCCCACCCAGCCCUCCCGUGGCGGCUGCUCACCCUUUCUGUCUGCCCUCUGGGUA